AAAUGCUUGUUUAGUUUCCUGGGAAGUGACUGAAAGGACAGCAUUGUAAGUGGGGGAUAAACGUCUUCUAUUAUCUUCUACCAUGUCCAGUUGCCCUUGACCUCAGCCUUUGUUGGAUAACUAUGACCUGGAUGACUGAGAACCUUCACAGACAUCAGUCGGUAUCAAUUCUUCCUCCUGUCCUCCUCCCUGUGCUGCUGAUGUGAUUCACUGCCUGCAGGUACUGCUAAUAAAGAGGGGAGGGGUUGGUUUGUCUCUACCAGCAACAAAGUUUACAAGAAUGUGGCAAUUUUUAAGGUAUGCGGCAAACUAAGCAAAACAGUUUGCAAAAUAUUUUGUAGAGACAAAAUACCAUCAAAAGACAAGUAGUGUAAAAACCUAAAAACACAAUAUGAAACAUAAGGUAGACCAGAUCUUGCUGAUCAAGUUUAAGACCUAAAAAUGCUUAUUGUAGUUGAAGGAAAAUACUUUUAUAGAUGAGGUGUUUGAUUCUAAUAACCAAAAUAUCCCUGCUAUCUUUUAUGUUUUGAGAGAAGUGCACAAUUGCCAGUAGUAUAUAGUUCUGUUGGCAGAACAGUAGCUCCUCGGGGAGCCUGAACGCUGUAAAAGUAAUCACAGUCAUAUCCUGCUCAUCCCUAAGCUUCACAGAUUUACUACAUAAGACAGUUACCAGAUGAAGCAAAUCCAUGUGGCCACCUUGACCUUCACAUGACCUGUCAGAAAAGUAGAUUGUGUCGAACUACACAAAUACCAUUCAGUAGGUGAGAAAAAGUAAAAAGCCCUUUGAAUUGUGAAGUGGUGUGGACAACAUUUUAGUUGAGACUUGGAUUGAAGGGGAAAGAAGGAACUAAAGCAACAAUAAACAGAUGUGUUUUAGGGACCCUAGAUUUGUGAGCCUCCUCUAUUUCCUUCAGGGCAUUUCACAAUGCUGACUCUUCAAUUGAAUUCCAAAUUCCAGAAAGAAACAUGCAAACUUCUUGUGAGCAUGUUUCGUUAAAUCUGUUUUUAUCACAUUAAUUGAUUGACUCUCACAGGAUAAAGGAAACAAUAUAGGUAUCAAAAAUAACACUGUGUUGUGGAUGUCACAAAAACCUUAGCAUUUUGUUCAACCACUAACUAACUCAAAAAAGCCUUACAUUUCUGUUGGAUGUGUGUUUUUGCUUGACAUUUUGCAUGCAUUAUUAUGAUGGAUAGUUGAUGCUAUCUAUGCAAAAAAGUUUUUUUCUUGCCUAACUUUUUACCAAAUUUCAUGAAAUGCAGCUUUUUGUUUGGCGCUUGGAGCAAAUGAUUUCAAUGCUUUUUUGACAGGGUGCUUUUGUAUGUGCACUUUGACUGACCUGAAAUUUGGAAAUGUUUGUCUGCAGUCUCAGACUUGUUGGUAGCUGCAGGCAAUCCAAAGACAAUUGUAAGGGACUUUUCAUUAUUUAUCAGAGGAGCGGGUGUGGCUGGGGUGUGACCUUUAUUAUUUAGACCCUCCCCAGAGCUACAUAUAUUUUUCCUUAAGCCUCCCUGAUGACUGAGGGAUAAUCUAUGACUCACCCCUCACCAUAAAUAACCAUAUUUAUUAUAUUCACAUGUUAGCUAGUAUUGGAGAAAAUAAAAAGCAAAGGCUGCCCUUUUCCAACCAAAAUUAAUUAAUUUAAUAGCAAACAGUGACUCUUAAACCUUAGACCUUUGACCCCUUUCCCCCUGGAAAAAAGCUAACUACCCGCUUUACUGUGUUCUCUCCUAUUGCACUGCAAAGGUUAGCCAAGACAAUUGAAAGUUAGUUAGUUACUAACUUUCAAAACUGAGUGAGAGGUAUCACAAUAAAACAAACAGCUAUUUCUUAAGCAAAAUGCAAAUCCUUCUUACACAUUACACAAGCUGUGUGUGCACUUAUAGGUUCAUGAGAGCCAAGAGGUGGAACUACCUAGUGGCUGGCCACCUGAGAGGGCACCUUCUUGUCACUUAAAGCAGCCACGUCCUUAAAUAUGCAUAACUUUAAGCCUUAAAGGCAGGGUAGGUAGGUAGGUUUGAGAAACUAGCCAGAAACUGCUUGAUUUUUGAAAGUAUCCAACAGAGAAACUCCCACCCCCUCCCUUCUGGGCUCCUUCCAAAGCCACGCCCCCAAAAUACGUGAACGCACGUUGCCGACACCGCAGGAGGACGAGGACAGUGUGAGGAGCGGAGAGCAGGGGCUCACAUCAGGUAGCUUCCAUGGUGACAGCAUUAUUGUGUCUGAUGAGGACUGCACCCCAGAGCCCAGCACAGACCGGGACAGGACCGGGGUCCGAGGACGCAGGACGGAGAGGACGAGGUGCAAGCCAAGAAGCGCAUCUUCUAGGACCUGCGUCGAGCUUCACACUCCAGCAACAGCAUAUUAACAGGCCAGAAUCUGAGGACUGUGGACAACAUCCAGACUACAGUGUUUCCAUGCACCAC